rnacentral:rRNA from 1 species
GAGUUUGAUCGUGGCUCAGGAUGAACGCUGGCGGCGUGCUUAACACAUGCAAGUCGAGCGAAGCACUCCAUCAGAUUUCUUCGGAUUGAAGAUGGUUUGACUGAGCGGCGGACGGGUGAGUAACGCGUGGGUGACCUGCCCCAUACCGGGGGAUAACAGCUGGAAACGGCUGCUAAUACCGCAUAAGCGCACGGAGCUGCAUGGCUCAGUGUGAAAAACUCCGGUGGUAUGGGAUGGGCCCGCGUCUGAUUAGGCAGUUGGCGGGUAAAGGCCCACCAGACCGACGAUCAGUAGCCGACCUGAGAGGGCGACCGGCCACAUUGGGACUGAGACACGGCCCAAACUCCUACGGGAGGCAGCAGUGGGGAA